AGGUUAAGUGUUGUACCUGACAACUCUUGAUGGUACUAUCCAUAUAUCACGUCACAGACAACGUCACGCUAACAUCACGUGACACCUCUGAUGAAGGCUGCAGAAGCAAGGUAGCCCAAACUUGUCAGCAUCGACGUCGCGUGGCACGGAAGUAUGACAUCGCUUCGGGAGCACCUUAAGAGGAAGCAUGUUGGACCCAUGGAUGAAGAAAAAAACUCACGAAAGAAACAAGCCAGCAUUAGAGACUUGGUACAAAAAAAGGUGUGCACACCACAGCAAGCGGCUGCAUUGACUGAUAGUGUCCUAAAUAUGUUGGUAACUGACACGAGACCACUAUCAAUGGUGGAGGAUGACGGUUUCAGAAAAAUUAUUUAUGUCCACAACCCUGGUUACACUCUUCCCUUGAGGACCCAUUUUACCAAACUGAUGGAGAGGAAGUAUGAGCAGACAUUUCAAGCUGUUUAAACUGACAUUAAAGCCACCCAGAGCAAAAUUGUUCUGACCACUGAUGUGUGGACAAGUGUAGCCACCUUGGCAAUACAUGCCACUACAUUGGAGACAAAUGGAACAUGAAGUCAAUCUGCCUCACGACCAUGCUACUAGAGGAAAGACAUUCCGCAUCCAACAUUGCAGAAUGGUUGGAAUAGGUAGUAGGCAAGCUUGAAAUUCCCCUAAGCAAAAUUAUUGCUAUUGUGCAUGACAAUGGUGCACUAUAUAAAAAUUUAAAAAAAGAAUUUUCCAACACUUGCCUUGUUAUUGUUAUGUUUGUAGCAAGUCGAAAGGACAUGGUGCCAGUAUGCUGUUUUUAAAAAAAAAAGUAUUAGAAAGGAUAGAAAUGUAGUUUGUCUUUUUUACCCGAUUAUUAAUCGAUCAAUCGAAGUAAUAAUCGACAGAUUAAUCGAUUAUCAAAUUAAUAAAUUAAUCGUUAGUUGCAGCCCUAAUAUAUAUAUAUAUAUAUAUAUAUAUUUUUUUUUUUUACAAGUGUUACAGACUAUACUCAGCUAAAAGACAAAAACAGAAAAAGAGCUAUCCAUUAUUCAAACAGCCCCCUCAAGUCCUCACUCUUCUGCCAGUUGAGGCGCCUCUCGUUCUUGCUCUUUACAUAUUCACACAGACUAAUCUCUUAAAAGGCCUGAUGAGCGCUGACAAUAGUGUGUGUGUGUGAGAGAGGUAGCACCGGGCCAAUUAGCCCGCAGGCGAAGCAGCAAUUUUCAUAAUGACAGGUGCUCAAGAUGCAGGCUAAAGUUUCUUUAGGAAUGUGAGUGUGCUCGCGCGUGUGCAUGAGACUUACACAAGGCGUAGAGUUCAGUCAAG